AUGGAAGGAUGGAGAGAGAGGUGCAGCGCUGCCGGAACUGACAAGCCAGAGGUGCACACUGGCAACCCAGAGAUCCGAGGAAUGCAAAGAAUUGCAACACACAAAGAGAUUUCUUGAUUCUGUGGGCUCCGUGGCAAUGAAUUCUUCUGUGAAGUGGAUGAAGACUACCUCCAGGACAAAUUUAAUCUUACUGGACUCAAUGCGCAGGUGUCUCACUAUCGACAAGCUCUAGACAUGAUCUUGGUCCUGGAACCUGAUAAAGAACUGGAAGACAACCCCAACGAAAGUGACCUGAUUGAGAAGGCAGCUGAGAUGCUUUAUGGGUUGAUCCACACCCGCUACAUCCUCAUCAACCGUGGCAUCGCCCAGAUGCUGGAAAAGUACCAGCAGGGAGACUUUGGUUACAGUCCCCCGUGUCUACUGUGAGAACCAGCCAAUGCUUCCUUCCCAUCGGCCUUUUGGACAUCCCAGGUGAAGCCACGGUGAAGCUCUACUGCCCUAAGUACAUGGAUGUAUACACACCCAAGCCAUCAAGACAUCAUCACACAGAUGGCGCCUACUUGGGCACUGGUUUCCUUCACAUGCUUUUCAUGGUGCAUCCUGCGUACUGGCCCAAGCAACCUGCCAACCAGUUUGUGCCCAGGCUCUACGGUUUCAAGAUCCAUCCGAUGGCAUACCAGCUGCAGCUCCAAGCCGCCAGCAACUUCAAGAGCCCAGUCAAGACAAUUCGUUGAUUCCCC